UCUUAUGAAUGAGCAAAGAAAGUGUUUUCUUGAGAUAGAAUAAACUCCUGGUGAGGGUCCUGUGAC
rnacentral:pre_miRNA from 1 species